rnacentral:misc_RNA from 1 species
AACUGAUACUACCUGCGGGAACCUGCGGAGGGAUCAUUAAUGAAAUCAUAUUCUCCUUUGGAGUUUCUUCUAGCUGAUGCGUCUUUUGGCUGCACGCUGUUGUCACUCUUUAGGGGUUAUAUUUCCACAAACCCUUCUGUGCAUAUUGGGAGGCUUUAUUGUCCUCUCCUAAUUCAUAUACUCUAAUGUUUAAUCAUGUCAUACAAUGUUAAAUACAUUAAACAACUUUUAACAACGGAU